UACGUAGGGUGCAAGCGUUAAUCGGAAUUACUGGGCGUAAAGCGUGCGCAGGCGGCUUUGCAAGACAGAUGUGAAAUCCCCGGGCUUAACCUGGGAACUGCAUUUGUGACUGCAAGGCUUGAGUGCGGCAGAGGAGACUGGAAUUCCUGGUGUAGCAGUGAAAUGCGUAGAUAUCAGGAGGAAUACCGAUGGCGAAGGCGGCUCUCUGGGACGGUACUGACGCUGAGACGCGAAAGCGUGGGGAGCGAACAGG
rnacentral:rRNA from 1 species